rnacentral:RNase_P_RNA from 1 species
GAAGUUCGCCAGGCAGUCGCCGUACACCUAUGUGUGCGGAGGAAAGUCCGGGCCCCGUAGAGCAGGAUGCCGGCUAACCGCCGGGCGUCGUGAGGCGACGGAAAGUGCAACAGAAAACAAACCGCCGAUGGCCCGUGCAAUGCGGGAUCAGGCAAGGGUGAAAUGGUGGGGUAAGAGCCCACCGCAGGACUGGUGACAGAACUGGCACGGCAAACCCCAUCCGGGGCAAGGCCAAAUAGGGGGGCAAUGGCGUGGCUCGCGCCGCUCCCGGGUAGGCUGCUGGAGCACCGGGGUAACCCGGCGCCAAGAGGAAUGACUGCCCGAUGUCCCUUGGGGGCAUUCGACAGAACCCGGCUUAUCGGCGAACUUCCCCC